UGCCUUUGUCACUGCCUCUAUCGCUGUCACAUUUUGACAGCAGAGGAAGGGAAGGAGCGUCGUUUUAUGGAGUUGUCUCCACCUCCAUCCGAGAACUCAACUUCUUGGAUGUCCGUUGUCUCUUCGCGGUGGUAACUUUGCCGGAUAAAGUGGAGCGGGUGUAGUGGUGACUCCUACUGGACGCUCCUUCAGUUUCUCCACAGUCUCCAUGAGAGAAAUAAUUUUACAUUUUAACCUUCUAAAAUUAAUUAUUGGGUUGGGCGCGGAGGUUGAGGAGUCUCGAGGGACUGCGCCAGUCUGAUGUUUCAUAUUUUUCCAUAGUCGUUUAAGGUUGAUAACCAUCAAUGUCUAUCAAUCUCAACAGUUGAUGCGUGUUGAGUUUCGUUUUUCUUAAAGUUCUCUCAAGGAACGAAAGUGUCCCAUCAUUUUCCAUUCCACUUCUUAUAAAAUUCUAUAUAUUUCUUCCUGUUCGGCUUUCAGAAAUUCUGCCGAACAGAUGUUUUUUUAUUGUUAAUGGACUACUGAGUUGGUUUGUACUGUAUGAACAGUCUUGACAGAAUUGUCAAUCUCACUGCUACUAUCACUGUCGCUGCCUCUGUCGCUGUGACACUUUGACAGAAGAGGAAGGGAAGGAGCGUCGUUUUCUGGAGUUAUCUCCACCUCCAUCCGAGAACUCAACUUCUUGGAUGCCCGUUGUCUCUUCGCGGUGAUAACUUUGCCGUGCAAAUGGGAGCGGGUGUAGGGGUGACUCCUACUGAACGCUCCUUCAGUUACGCUAUUAGUUACAUAAUUCUGAUGCUCCGUUGCUCCACAGUCUCCAUGAGAGAAAUAAUUUUACAUUUUAACUUGAAGGUUUAUAACCAUCAAUCUCAACAGUCGAUGCGUGUUGGGUUUCAUUUGAUAUAUGACCUUUCUGAAGCUCUGCAGAACGUAUUUUAUUUCUUUCCUUCGAGAGGUGCCUUUCUUUUCCUUCAUCUCAACAAACGAAUGUGUCGAAUCAUUUUCUCUUUACUUUUUCUUAGAAUUCCGAUUAUUUUCAAAUGUUGAACAAGUGAUUGUUGCAUCAUGCAGGGUAAGUUUCCUUCUGGGGUGCCUUUUCCUUCACUUGUCGGUGGUAAUCCAUCUCUAGAAACGAAAGUGUCAACAUCAUUUUUCAUUCCACUUCUUAGAAUUCUUAUUCUUAGAAUUUUUUAUAAAAUUCUAUUCAUUUUUUGCCUGUUCGGCUUUCAGAAAUUCUGCCGAACAGAUGCUUUUUUCUGACUAUUUUUUAUUGUUAAUUGACCACUGACUGGUUUGUACUGUUUAACAUAUGAACAGUCUUGAUAGAAUUGUCUAUGUCACUGCUACUAUCACUGUCGCUGCCUCUAUCGCUGUCACAUUUUGACAGCAGAGGAAGGGAAGGAGCGUCGUUUUAUGGAGUUGUCUCCACCUCCAUCCGAGAACUCAACUUCUUGGAUGUCCGUUGUCUCUUCGCGGUGGUAACUUUGCCGGGCAAAGGGGAGCGGGUGUAGGGGUGACUCCUACUAGACGCUCCUUCAGUUACACUGUUAGUUCCUUAAUUCUGAUGUUCUGUUUCUCCACAGUCUCCAUGAGAGAAAUAAUUUUACAUUUUAACUUACUCAAAUUAAUUAUUGAGCUGGGCGCGGAGGUUGAGGAGUCUCGAGGGACUGCGCCAGUCUGAUUUUUCAUAUUUUUCUAUAGUCGUUCAAGGUUGAUAGCCAUCAAUGUCCAUCAAUCUCAACAGUUGAUGCGUGUUGAGUUUCGUUUUUCUUAAAGUUCUCUCAAGGAACAAAAGUGUCCCAUCAUUUUCCAUUCCACUUCUUAUAAAAUUCUAUAUAUUUCUUCCUGUUCGGCUUUCAGAAAUUCUGCCGAACAGAUGUUUUUUUCUCACUAUUUUUUAUUUUUAAUUGACUACUGACUGGUUUGUACUGUUUAACAUAUGAACAGUCUUGAUAGAAUUGUCAAUGUCACUGCUACUCUCACUGUCACUGUUUCUGUGGCUGUUUCUAUCGCUGUCGUCGUCUCUGUCGCUAUUUCUGCCAUUGUCUGAUUUUUACAGAAGAAGGGAAGGUGCGUCGUUUUCUGGAAUUAUCUGCACCUCCAUCGGAGAACUCCACUUGUUGGAAGUCUGUCUCUUCGCCGGGCAGGGGUAGCAGGAAGGUUGCAACCUAUGAGGAGCCUAGAGAAACUGUGCCAGUCUUCAAGUUUGAUUUAUCACAUUUUUCCAUAGUAGUUUACGUUUCGUAAUCGGGGUUACCAGACCUACCCUUAGUUCCGCAGAGUGAUGUAUACUGAACGACGGCUCGUUGACAACUAAAAAUAUAUGCUUGUCAAAUAUUGACAAGAGUUGCUGCUAUGAUCAACGAAUUAUUUCAUUAUUCUCCACUUAACCUGUUGGCUCCUAUGCACUUCCUGGCACCGUUGUAUUACAUAUUGUAAUAACAUCGUUGCAACUGCAUAAGUACAUAUUAAAGUCGUGUUCAACGAGUCAUACAUGAAAGUUACAUUGAUAUGGAUAAUAUGGAAGCUAUGAAUGAAAAAUUCACAACCCAUCUCUGCAACAGAAAUGAUUGUACUAUGCAAAGCAGAAUAAAUAAUGCCUAUUUGCAACUACAAUUAGUUAUCUCUAAAGGUGCGUUUUCCUUCUGCUGCCAAAAAAUCUUUUAUACCGCAUUAGUAAAAUCAGAUCAUCCAAUCUGAACUAAUUUACUAAUUAUAUUGUUAGGAGGAAAUCACAAAUUGUUUUAACUUUAGUGGCAAUAUAACUGAUUUAUUUUGUUACAAUUUUCUCAUGGAAAUAAUGUUGUGUUAGUAGAUAAUGUACACUGGUAUUUGACGUAAUACAGGUUAGGUAUUUUUUGCUUUGGGGGUUGCUAGUCCUGUCAAAGACUGACAAUAUUUAGUACCUCAAAAAUAACUUAUUUAAAACCCAAAAUACACUGCACAAGUUGGAUACAAAAAAAUAAUUAAAAAUAAAUUAAAAUGAAGGAUGCAGAAGUAAAACAGGGGAUAUAAGACUGGUGGUGGACCAUUUAAAAGUUUGGAAAUGUUAAGCAUUCAAAGAAGUAACAAUAGAGGUUGUGUUAAGGUAACAUAACCUGCUUUCAAUUGAAAAAUCUUUAAAUAAACAUAGAAUAAUACAGUUUGAAGAAUUUGGGCAACAGAUCAAACAAGAAAUGGAAUCACAAUUUUAAACUACAAAUAUCUUUAAUAUCUUUGAGGAUGUUUUACGACUCCACAAUUCUAAUAAUUUGCGAUCACACGUGCAGUCUUCAUUAAAUAAAUGUAAAUUGCGAGUGUUCCAGCACUGAUACGACCAGAGUUCCGGCUUUGUAAACUGAAAUUACAUCAAAUAGCAGCUAAAACAUUAGCGACACCUUCUCCAAUAGAGUGGCAUCAAAUGAAGGACCGGCAACGACAAACAUGUUUUGGCCAGAACGGGAAAAACUAAAGAAAAAUGGGAAAUUGAGGAAUAGGAUGGAUCUGAAACAUUAGCGACACUUCUCCAAUAGAGUGGCAUCAAAUGAAGGACCGGCAACGACAAACAAGCUUUGGCCAGAACGGGAAAAACUAAAGAAAAAUGGGAAAUUGAGGAACACGAUGGAUCUUUAACAUUAGCGACACCUUCUCCAAUAGAGUGGCAUCAAAUGAAGGACCGGCAACGACAAACAUGUUUUGGCCAGAACGGGAAAAACUAAAGAAAAAUGGGAAAUUGAGGAACAGGAUGGAUCUGAAACAUUAGCGACACCUUCUCCAAUAGAGUGGCAUCAAAUGAAGGACCGGCAACGACAAACAAGUUUUGGCCAGAACGGGAAAAACUAAAGAAAAAUGGGAAAUUCACUAUUUAAAAUUAAAACAUUUAAAGCUAUAAAUAAACGAAGUGUUAUAA